AUUGAACGCUGGCGGCAGGCCUAACACAUGCAAGUCGAACGAGUGGCGGACGGGUGAGUAAUGUCUGGGAAACUGCCUGAUGGAGGGGGAUAACUACUGGAAACGGUAGCUAAUACCGCAUACCAUCGGAUGUGCCCAGAGGGGAUUAGCUUGUAGGUGAGGUAACGGCUCACCAAGGCCACGAUGCCUAGCCGACCUGAGAGGAUGAUCAGCCACACUGGAACUGAGACACGGUCCAGACUCCUACGGGAGGCAGCAGUGGGGAAUAUUGGACAAUGGGCGCAAGCCUGAUCCAGCCAUGCCGCGUGGGUGAAGAAGGCCUUCGGGUUGUAAAGCCCUUUUGUUGGGAAAGCGGUACCCAAAGAAUAAGCACCGGCUAACUUCGUGCCAGCAGCCGCGGUAAUUC
rnacentral:rRNA from 1 species